rnacentral:rRNA from 1 species
GGGUUGUGAGGUUAAGCGACUAAGCGUACACGGUGGAUGCCCUGGCAGUCAGAGGCGAUGAAGGACGUGCUAAUCUGCGAUAAGCGUCGGUAAGGUGAUAUGAACCGUUAUAACCGGCGAUUUCCGAAUGGGGAAACCCAGUGUGUUUCGACACACUAUCAUUAACUGAAUCCAUAGGUUAAUGAGGCGAACCGGGGGAACUGAAACAUCUAAGUACCCCGAGGAAAAGAAAUCAACCGAGAUUCCCCCAGUAGCGGCGAGCGAACGGGGAGCAGCCCAGAGCCUGAAUCAGUGUGUGUGUUAGUGGAAGCGUCUGGAAAGGCGCGCGAUACAGGGUGACAGCCCCGUACACAAAAAUGCACAUGCUGUGAGCUCGAUGAGUAGGGCGGGACACGUGGUAUCCUGUCUGAAUAUGGGGGGACCAUCCUCCAAGGCUAAAUACUCCUGACUGACCGAUAGUGAACCAGUACCGUGAGGGAAAGGCGAAAAGAACCCCGGCGAGGGGAGUGAAAAAGAACCUGAAACCGUGUACGUACAAGCAGUGGGAGCACGCUUAGGCGUGUGACUGCGUACCUUUUGUAUAAUGGGUCAGCGACUUAUAUUCUGUAGCAAGGUUAACCGAAUAGGGGAGCCGAAGGGAAACCGAGUCUUAACUGGGCGUUAAGUUGCAGGGUAUAGACCCGAAACCCGGUGAUCUAGCCAUGGGCAGGUUGAAGGUUGGGUAACACUAACUGGAGGACCGAACCGACUAAUGUUGAAAAAUUAGCGGAUGACUUGUGGCUGGGGGUGAAAGGCCAAUCAAACCGGGAGAUAGCUGGUUCUCCCCGAAAGCUAUUUAGGUAGCGCCUCGUGAAUUCAUCUCCGGGGGUAGAGCACUGUUUCGGCAAGGGGGUCAUCCCGACUUACCAACCCGAUGCAAACUGCGAAUACCGGAGAAUGUUAUCACGGGAGACACACGGCGGGUGCUAACGUCCGUCGUGAAGAGGGAAACAACCCAGACCGCCAGCUAAGGUCCCAAAGUCAUGGUUAAGUGGGAAACGAUGUGGGAAGGCCCAGACAGCCAGGAUGUUGGCUUAGAAGCAGCCAUCAUUUAAAGAAAGCGUAAUAGCUCACUGGUCGAGUCGGCCUGCGCGGAAGAUGUAACGGGGCUAAACCAUGCACCGAAGCUGCGGCAGCGACGCUUAUGCGUUGUUGGGUAGGGGAGCGUUCUGUAAGCCUGCGAAGGUGUGCUGUGAGGCAUGCUGGAGGUAUCAGAAGUGCGAAUGCUGACAUAAGUAACGAUAAAGCGGGUGAAAAGCCCGC